UACGGAGGGGACUAGCGUUGUUCGGAAUUACUGGGCGUAAAGCGCACGUAGGCGGAUUUGUAAGUCAGGGGUGAAAUCCCGGGGCUCAACCUCGGAACUGCCUUUGAUACUGCAAAUCUCGAGUCCGGAAGAGGUGAGUGGAAUUCCUAGUGUAGAGGUGAAAUUCGUAGAUAUUAGGAAGAACACCAGUGGCGAAGGCGGCUCACUGGUCCGGUACUGGCGCUGAGGUGCGAAAGCGUGGGGAGCAAACAGG
rnacentral:rRNA from 1 species